rnacentral:lncRNA from 1 species
UAUUUACUGAGUAUGUAUGGUGUGUUCCAUACUGAACCUGAUGCAGCGGGGAAGAGGAAAGCAUGAGCUGAACACAUUCCACCGACAGACAAAUUUGACACAUACAAAGCAGGCAUUCAGUUGUAUUAUAAACAAGGGUGAAAACAGACGGCCACACUAUGAAGCUGAUAGUUCGCCAUUCACAGAAAGGAAAGGAACUUCCUUCUCCAGCCUUCUAGGGCUAAUUGGUUGGAUGGAAUUCAUACAGGAAUCAUGUCAAGGCUUUGCCCAUGAUGAAAGUUUGGCCUUGACAUACCAAUGGAAAGGGAGUGCCUCGGGAGCUUUUGGUUUGUGGCGGUGGGAGAAUUUUCUCCCUUCAGCCAUUCCAGAGGGCCUACUGCUCAGCAGGAUUUGGAGUCUUGAGGUGGUUGCUAAUCAUGACUUGAAUCAUCAGGAGCGCAGUGUUCUUGGGGAGAUCCGAUGAGAGCUCAGGAAACAUCACAUGGUGGAAAGAAGAGGGAAUGUGAAAGGGCUGAGCUCAAAUCCCCACUCCGUCACCAGUAGUUGUGUGAACUUGGGUAAGUCACUUUAUUUCUCAGGGGCUUAUUCCUGAUUUCUUCUAACCAAAACAGGUUUUUUCAUUAAGAGCCACAUAGUUUGGCAGGAAGGAAGACAGAAAAGGAUAAGAAAGAAUUAAGUCUCUGUUCUCAAGGACUAUCACCCACUAAGGAGGCAGGACAAGCACACCAGACAGUAUAGAAACAUUGGUGUCCUGUGUGACAAGUGACCCUCUGUGGUGCUCCUUUGAGGUCAG